GAUGAACGCUGGCGGCGUGCCUAAUACAUGCAAGUCGAGCGAACGGACGAGAAGCUUGCUUUUCUGAUGUUAGCGGCGGACGGGUGAGUAACACGUGGAUAACCUACCUAUCAGACUGGGAUAACUUCGGGAAACCGGAGCUAAUACCGGAUAAUAUUUUGCACCGCAUGGUUCAAUAGUGAAAGACGGUCUUGCUGUAACUUAUAGCUGGAUCCGCGCUGCAUUAGCUAGUUGGUAAGGUAACGGCUUACCAAGGCAACGAUGCAUAGCCGACCUGAGAGGGUGAUCGGCCACACUGGAACUGAGACACGGUCCAGACUCCUACGGGAGGCAGCAGUAGGGAAUCUUCCGCAAUGGGCGAAAGCCUGACGGAGCAACGCCGCGUGAGUGAUGAAGGUCUUCGGAUCGUAAAACUCUGUUAUUAGGGAAGAACAUAUGUGUAAGUAACUGUGCACAUCUUGACGGUACCUAAUCAGAAAGCCACGGCUAACUACGUG
rnacentral:rRNA from 1 species